UGGGGAAUUUUGGACAAUGGGGGAAACCCUGAUCCAGCCAUCCCGCGUGUGCGAUGAAGGCCUUCGGGUUGUAAAGCACUUUUGGCAGGAAAGAAACGUCGCGGGUUAAUACCCCGCGAAACUGACGGUACCUGCAGAAUAAGCACCGGCUAACUACGUGCCAGCAGCCGCGGUAAUACGUAGGGUGCAAGCGUUAAUCGGAAUUACUGGGCGUAAAGCGUGCGCAGGCGGUUCGGAAAGAAAGAUGUGGAAUCCCAGAGCUUAACUUUGGAACUGCAUUUUUAACUACCGGGCUAGAGUGUGUCAGAGGGAGGUGGAAUUCCGCGUGUAGCAGUGAAAUGCGUAGAUAUGCGGAGGAACACCGAUGGCGAAGGCAGCCUCCUGGGAUAACACUGACGCUCAUGCACGAAAGCGUGGGGAGCAAACAGGAUUAGAUACCCUGGUAGUCCACGCCCUAAACGAUGUCAACUAGCUGUUGGGGCCUUCGGGCCUUGGUAGCGCAGCUAACGCGUGAAGUUGACCGCCU
rnacentral:rRNA from 1 species